rnacentral:rRNA from 1 species
GUAGGGGGCAAGCGUUAUCCGGAUUUACUGGGUGUAAAGGGAGCGUAGACGGCAGAGCAAGUCCGGAGUGAAAGCCCGGGGCCCAACCCCGGGACUGCUCUGGAAACUGUUAAGCUGGAGUGCGGGAGGGGCAGGCGGAAUUCCUGGUGUAGCGGUGAAAUGCGUAGAUAUCAGGAGGAACACCAGCGGCGAAGGCGGCCUGCUGGACCGUGACUGACGUUGAGGCUCGAAAGCGUGGGGAGCAAA